rnacentral:tRNA from 1 species
GAAAGCUUAAUAGAAACAAAAGGCUAGAGUAUCCCGAUUCAUCGGGAGGGUGACCGGUUCGAAUCCGGUAUUCUCCA